UAUAUAAUGCUCUUGAUGGGAGAAGGGGACAGCUUACUAAGUCUCAAGCAAGUUAAGAAAACUGAGAGGAAAAGGUGGACAUGUUUGCCUGCUUAAAAAUUUUAAAGCUUCCAGGAAAAUAAAUUAUUUUCCUGUUAAAUUAAUGAACACGUUUUACAUAUUAAUACCCAAUGCUGGUGAGAACAAGCUUCUCAUUCAUUGCUAAUGACUGAGUAACUAGGUAUAAUUCCUUGGAAAAACAAUUUAGCAAACUAUCUAGGGGCAUAAAAAUGUACAUACUAUUUAACUCAUUAUUUCUACUUCUCGAAAUCUAUCCUAAGGAAGUAAUUCAAAUGUCCUCAGAAUGCUGGUAUUAUUUAUGAUAAUGAAAAACUGGAAACAAUCUAAAAAAAACAAAAGGGUAAUGAUAAAUGUAUUUAUGGUGUGUUUAGUGGUUAGAAUAUUAAGUUAUAAAUGAAAAGAGAAUUAUGAAGACUAUAACAUGAAAAAAUGCUUAUGAUAUGCUAAGUGGGAAAAAAGCAGUCCAUGUAAUCAUUGAUAUAAUGUAGGAGGAAAAUUGGUAAAGACAAAUCAAGCCUGGCUGAAACUAAUUAUGUGGCUUUUCAAAUGUCACAAUUUCACAUUUUAUUAACUACUAAGUAUUAACUUGGGAAUUUGGGCAAAGAGGCUUAGACCCUUUUUUAAAAAAAACUCUCCCAGCCCUUUAUAGAUUUUUAGUUUUAACUUCAGUUGACUUUUCCAAAUACAUUUGAAAACAAGAUUAGCAAGCUAGUUUGGUCCUGAUAGCACUGUGCUCCCCUAAGCUUGAACCCUGUAAACAUGGUUCAAGAUAAUCACACAAUUCUCUUGAAUCGCAUCCCUUUUUAGGGAAGCUGCUCUCGCUUUUCCCAGCUGGAAGAUUUGUGGAAGACAUUUGACUUUAUGCUCUUGUUUCAGUUUCAUCACCAACAUAAUUUCUCCGGUGGGUUGUUUUUUCCUUGUGGCAAAAGAAAGAAAUUCAGGCUCACAGUUAAAUGCUAAUUCUAGAAAGCAACCCUGAGGGACAUUAUUCUCAGCAUUUCCUGAAUUCCUUAGCGUAAUAACAGAUGAUCAUUGUGUUUGGGGGUCCCUAUUGGGACUUGGGGGUAGAAGAGAAAAAUUAAACGAAGCUCUGAAAUUGUCCCUGAACUGUAGAAAUGCAUCAUACAGUGAAACAGAACACACACAAGUGAGUGGAAAUACAAAGAAGGCCGCUGAGAUUUUUUAAAAAUCAAGAAAGGUGGAGGAGAGACUUGUAGCACAGUAUAGACUGGACAUCUCAGAUUUCUGAAAGGCGCACGUGUAGGCCUUUCUGCCAUGUGGAUUUUGCCAUCCAUGGUCACCAUUUGCCACCCCUUUUCCACAGAGGACUGAGCUGAAUGCAAGUCCUGUAAUAACCAAAGGCUUGUUCUGAGUUACUGCUUCAUUCAGAGAAAACGAGGAUGUAGAACUUCAAGAAUAGGGGCAAGAUGAUGUCACAGUGAAAUACAGCCCAGGCUCUGCUAGGGACUUUGUUCAGAGCAAGGUGAAUGUUCUGUCCUGUUGGGACAACAUUUUAUUCUCUGAGGGACACUAAAGUGACCACCCCUGCUUUACAUGCGUGAUUACACCUCCUUGCAGAGACAGGCUUAUAAAACAGCCUUUCUAGAAAGUGCAUGCUUUUACUCUCUGGCUGAAAAUAUUUUAUGAGUAGAUGCUCAAAAAGCACAAGAUUUUUAUCUUCUAUUGUGUCUGUGAAAGUCCUAACUUGUCUGCAAGCUUGAUUCCCGCUGUACUUUUCUGUGGAAACCUACCUUUGUGGUCAAAGGCAUCAUUCAUUCCCCAUAGCCCAAAGUCCACUUUGAGUCCAACAAUAUGGAAUUUUGAAAGCUCAAAUUUUGUUUUCUUGAGUGAUCUAGGGUUUUUCGCCUGCUGUUGGUUUUCCUCAGAAGACUCAAGGGUAGAUGUGUGAGAUAUGGACUAGAAUGAAAGUACUCUGCAGUAUUUUGAAAAGAGCAAAACUAUGUAGAAACAUACCUGUUUGUCAUAGUACCAUUGGGAAGUCUUUUGUACAAAGGACAGCAAUGCAUUUAUGUUGCAGUUGGGAAUAGCAUAGAUAGAAUUUGAGAUCAAUGACAGUGAUAUAUUGUGCACCACUUUCUAUUUCAAAUCGCAGAAGACCUGACAUGAAAUUCAUAGUGCAUUAUAAAUGCAGCCUCAUGAGCAUCCUUUCUGCACGCAGUCCCCUCCUGACAGGUGUGCUUUGGAGACAUAGCACAGUGGGAUGGCCCACAGAGCAGCCGCCACCACUCCAGCCAAUUAGGACAAACUGCUAACACAUAAGCAAGUCUGAGGCUAGUUUCAACGGUAGAGGAAGAGAUGAAUGGGAGAUAUUAGAAGGCAGGAAACAUUGACUUCUCUAUCCUGUGUUGACCCCUCACAUUUCCUGAUAUGAGGUUCUUUUGGGCCUGGUAGCCCCGCAAGGCUAGAGGUCAACACUGACACUGUGUUUACAUUUGGAAUACAGCGAAGGGACUGGCAUCCCUUCACUGAGAAACAUUAAUGAUGCAAGACUGUUAUUGCAGAAGGAAACUAAGGCAGUGACCUGCAAAAAUCUAACAUGGAACUCAGUCUCAGCCAGGUUUCCAGAACCUGAGUGUUCUCUUUUUCAAAGCUGAAAGUAAUAUUUUAGGAGGUUAAGUGCAAACCUGGUUGUGUGGGUGGAUUGCAGUAGGAUCUAAUUUGAGCACAAUUCUGAGAAUCCAGACUCUGUGAAGUCCUUUCUGGCUGUGCUAAAAUCCCACUGCAGGAGUUGGGGAAGUUGCCUUAUUUCUCUGUGCCCUACUAAACAUGGUGGGGAAAGGGCAAACUAGGGCAUCAUCAAAGGCUUAAGAUAAUAAAAGUUUUCCUUGACCUUUUAAAGAGAUUGCGUCAAUAAAAAUACAUAACUAGAGGAAAGUGCUAUCAGCGAUGUAGACUUCACUUGCGGUGUUGUAGCCAGUGUUUCCUUUGUCUUCUCAAGAUGCUCAUCCUCCACACAGCAGAGACAAAGUUUCUAAAACACCUAUCAAAUCCUUCUGCUUCCCUGAUUAAAGUCCCUCACUGGCUGCCUGUUGCUUACACAAUGUGGUUCGGAUUCCUUGGCUCUGCAGCCAAGGCCCUCUAUGAUUUGGUGCUGCCCAUCUCUCUGGUGUCAACUCUCAACCACCUUCCAUGCACCUCCUCCCCAGGGGCUCCCGAAGGCUGUACUCAAAGGGGUGGCAGGGGCCCCACUGCCAGGUCACAGUGAAGAUGCAUCAGAAGAUAGAGGAGAUAAAGAGCCUCGUCAGACCAUCCACCCAAGGCCACUUUCAAAACAACUCAGAAGAUGGUGUCCUUGGCAACCCUGUACGAGAGUUCUACCAAGAGUCAGGCUUUCUCUACUAAUCUUCCGUGGAUGUUUGCUGUUCAUCUCUCCUCCCAUACUCUGCUCUUGACCCAGGUUUUGCUGGAAGUACUCUGAUGUUGCACACGAUCUGUCAGCAAGGUUUACUGAGAACUCCAGUCCCAGCAACAGCAAAUGACACAGACUCAUCAGUACAGAGCCUGAAAUACCUAGAAACAGGUAAUAACAAUUGUUGGUGAGAACACAGAGAAACUGGAACUUUCAUGCACUGCUGGCGGAAAUGUUAACCGGCACAGCAAUUUGAAAACAACCUGCAAGUCCCUCACGAAGGCCAAAUACGGAAUUACCAUAUGACCCAGCAAUUUCAAUUCUAGGAAGAGCCAUCAAAGGGUUUUGAGCAGAUUAGCAAAUUGAUCUGAUUUACAUGUAAACACCUGGUGCUGCUCUGUUGAAAACAGAUGGCAGGGCUGCAGCAUCAGGAAGACCAAUUCGAGACCUCUUCAGGGUCCAGGUAAGAGACAGGAAGGUGGCUUAGGGUGCUAUUGGAGGAGGUGGUGAGGAAGGAUUAGCAUCUGUAUAUAUUUUGAAUGAGGAACCAACAGGAUUUAUGAACAGAUCAAUUGGGAAGUGUAGGAGAGAGACGUAAAUGAAAGAGAAAUAAAAAUGAGUUAAUAGGGCUGGGUGCAGUGGCUCACACCUGUAAUCCCAGCAUUUUGGGAGGCCAAAAUGGGUGGAUUGCUUGAAAAAAUUAGCAGGGUGUGGUGUCGGGCACCUGUAAUCCCAGCUACUUGGGAGGCUGAGGCAGGAAAAUCGCUUGAACCUGGGAGGCGGAGGUUGCAGUGAGUCGAGAUCACGUCACUGCACUCCAGCCUGGGCAAUAAGAGCAAAACUCCGUCUCAAAUAAAAAAUGAAUUCGUAGAUGUUAAACGUUUAGCAUAGCACCUGGCAAACGGAGACCACUGACUACUUUUAAGUUGUUAUUAUUAUUCCUACUUUCUGUUAUGAGAGUCAUAGAAGAUAAUGUAUGGAACCUGUCGGUCAGAGUCAGGUGGCUGCGCGCUCUGCAAUCCUGAAGGCAGGCCUGAGAGCUACGUUAAGAUGUAAAUGUAAUUUACUUUGCGAGGAGGGUCGGGGUCACGCUCCCUUUCCCAGGACCUCAGAGGUCUGAGAGGUCACGGCUGGUGUGGGCUGCAGUGGAAUCCUGCCUCUUCCGUGUGAAGGGCCUUGCUCCGUCUCCCAGACUGGAGUGCAAUGGUGUAAUCUCAGCUCACUGCAAACUCCACCUCCUGGAUUCAAAGAUUCUCCUGCCUCAGCCUUCUAAGUAGCUGGAUUACAGCAUCAUGCAUGGGAAAAAGAAGACAGACGACUGACAGGCAGCUAUAGUGGCUAAGACCUCUGACAGCUGUUGACAAAGUCCCUGGAUUUCAGGGUCUACAACCUUUGAAGAAAUCACCACCACUUAUGUGGACUGUGUAAGCUGGCAACUGACCAGCACCUGUACUCAGGAAGCACUGUCCAUCUUCUCUUAUAAAGAUAUUAUAGGGUUUGGAGGGUGUGGCCUUUAAAUUGCAGUAACAGAACUUUGGAAGUUUGGAAGCCUUGUUCUGAAUGCACUUGUUAAAAACAGGAGUGAAGGCCGGGUGCGGUGGCUCAUGCCUAUAAUCCCAGCACUUUGGGAGGCCAAGGCAGGUGGAUCACAAGGUCAGGAGAUCAAGACCACCCUGGCUAACACAGUGAAACCCCGUCUCUACUAAAAAUACAAAAAAAUUAGCUGGGCAUGGUGGUGUGUGCCUGUAGUCCCAGCUACUAACGAGGCUGAGGCAAGAGAAUCGCUUGAACCUGGGAGGCAGAGGUUGUAGUGAGCCGAGAUUGUGCCUCUGCACUCCAGCCUGGGUGACAAAGUGGAACUCUGUCUCAAAAAAACAAAACAAAACAAAAACAAACAAAAAAACAGGAGUGAAAUCUAGACUUUGUUUUAGCUACAGCAGAGAGAGCCUUGUGUGCCAAACAUAUAAAUUACUUGAGAAAAGGCAGUGGGGGACAGCUGCUAUUGGAAAACCUUUGGGGAAGGGGGUUAGCUGUUUGCACAUGGGGACUGCAGUUGCCAGCAAAUGGCCUCCCUUCCCUGCUGAGGUUCCCCGUGGGGUGCAGCGUGAGCAUCUCCUAACACUUUAAGCAUCCUACUUUUCAUUACACACCCCACUGCAUUUUAGCUAAAGCCAUUCAUCGUGCCAAAUGUGCAGUGCUUCGGAGAGGAAGGAAAGCUCAAGUCACACACAUGGUUUGCAUUUAACAGUGCAAAAGGCCCUAGAGUUAGUCUUCUUUUUGGCAAAACCGGCCUCAGUGCAACCCUCAAAAAAUGGCUCUAUAUAGGGAAAAGUGAUCAGGGCUCUCCAAUAAAAAACACUGCAUUUACUUUGAAAAGUCAGAGCAUAAACUUCAUAAACUUCUUGUAAGCGGCAUGCCCCCCUUCCAUGUGGGAAGCCCCAGAGGGCCAGGUCUGUUUAUGAAUGAGCCUCCUCUUUUCCUGUCAUGCUGAAACACACAUCUAUCAGCCAGAGAUAAGCAACGCUCCCGGCUGCUUCAUUAAAACAAAACACUCGAGCAGAGGCCCUGCCCUCCAGUGCAGGAACUUGGCCCUAUUACUUCCAUUCCCUUUUUGGGGCCCCUCAAAAGCCUCUGUGGAAAAAGCAGUUCUGCAAAAUAUGGAACUGGCUCAUGUCCCUGGGUCUGUUUACAGCUUUUCCUGUCACCCAUUUCAUGAACCACACGGCUAUACACACUUUUGUAUCAACCUCAAAGUAUUCAUGUGCUUGUUGGAAGUUUGGCCCUGUUGUAUACUUCCUCUAAUUAUCUCUUCUUCUGGGAUUGGUGAGAUGGAUGGGGACUAGGGUCAAUAUUCCCAAGAAGCAGAGAAACACUGUUUUUUGCUGUUCUUUUUUGAAAACCUGUAUUUUGGACCCUCCCUAGCGCUGACCUAUACUCUUAAUGUGUGUGUAUAUAAGAAGGGAUGGGGAAUUUGCCUCCAUGGCAAUAACUUUCUGCCAAAAAUUCACUUUCCCCAGAGUAGGAGCUUUGUUUCUAGAAGAGAAUAAAAUAUCUUAACAAUUCUGAUGUCAAAACAAAAACAAAAAACCUCCAGAGACCCAAACAACUCUAGAUAUACUUGAAGAAUUCGGCUCCCUUAUAAACCACAGGUUGGUCCAUACCUGCCUGGAUCCUCACAUUACCAAUGGGAAGGACUAAUGUGGCUAUGCAUGCACCACAUUUUAAAUAUACAUUUUCCUUCCUGAAUAAGAAUACAUCUGAAAAGCAGGAGGCAAGUCCAUCUUUUUCUGUUUUGGCUCACCUGGGCUUUGUUUGCUCAGCCCACAGCAGCUAAAAAAAGUAAAAAGGCCUGGCUUCAUCUAGCAACAGGGAGCAAGUCUGCUCCUUCAGGAUUUGCCCUGUGCUUGAUUAUUCACAUUCAGGAAAAGUACCAGCACUAUGCCCUGCCCAGGAAGCCUGGAUAUCUGCUUUCCGAUGUCUAUUUGCCAAAUAUAAUUUGUUGCCAUGUCAGUUUAUUUUCAUCGGUGCCCAUUAAGGAGACUCUUCAACUUCCCGAAUUUUGGAAACUCUUGUCCUGGUAAUGCAAAACACUUCAAUAUAAAACCCCAAACAAAACAAAGAAGCCUCUGCACUCAAGACUGCAGGAUGCAUCUCACCAGGUGGAUAAGUUAACCUAACAUUAUAUUGACUUUUAUCCAAUAAUGGGCCAAGGUGACUCCCUGCCUGAGAACCUGCUGGGAAAUAUGGAAAGUCCCCUCUUCAGACCAUCCUUUCCACUUCUGUGGCUAUUUUCACAUGUCAGACGCAAGAUUUUCACUAUAACCACAUUUUUAAAAAACUCCUACCUUUUGACAGAAUUAAGAAAAGUUUUUUCACUGUCAGAUGGAAGUGAUGCUACAGAAAAAUUCACUAUGAGGAAGAAAGUUGAAUGUGCAGAUGCUUCUACUUAACAGGCCCCCAGAGACCCCUGGGUUAUCUGAGAUGGGUCCUUCGGCUGUCUGCUCUCCAUUGCAGUGAUCUCUGAUUUCGUGGAGCACCAACUUUCUCUAAAACAUCCCUUGGGUGACAAAUAUAACCAGGCUGCUCCUAAAGGAGAUGGGCAGGGAGGACCUUGUGGCUAAGCAGAGUAGGCCCAAUUAGCACAUAAAAGAAAUUCAAGGAGGGCACCUUGCUCGUAAAUAAAUAUCAAGCUUGGCCAGCAGAGGAAAUGUACUUAGUCUUUAUGCUUUCCUCCUAAAAUCUCAAACCACGUUGAGGGAACAGAGAUUUGAGAGGAGGGAGAAUGAGCAGGGGCGAGAGGAAUCUGGUGCCUAACAUAUUCUGGAGGAGGAGGGUACACUGAGGAUAAGGACACUAAGGAUUAAUUCCACCCAUCUCACAAUUAGCCUAUGGCUGGGCCUAGAUACUGCCAGGGAUGCCUUAAGAAAUAGAAUAAGAAAGCCAGGUGCUGUCAUUUAUAGUGCCAGCUACUUGGGAGGCUGAAGGGGGAGGAUCUCCUAAGGCCAG